rnacentral:rRNA from 1 species
UACGUAGGGUGCGAGCGUUGUCCGGAAUUAUUGGGCGUAAAGAGCUUGUAGGCGGUCUGUCGCGUCUGCUGUGAAAAUCCGGGGCUCAACCCCGGACUUGCAGUGGGUACGGGCAGACUAGAGUGUGGUAGGGGAGACUGGAAUUCCUGGUGUAGCGGUGAAAUGCGCAGAUAUCAGGAGGAACACCGAUGGCGAAGGCAGGUCUCUGGGCCGCAACUGACGCUGAGGAGCGAAAGCAUGGGGAGCGAACAGG